AACGAACGCUGGCGGCAGGCCUAACACAUGCAAGUCGAACGGUUGUAGCAAUACAGCAGUGGCGCACGGGUGAGUAACACGUGGGAACGUGCCUUUCAGUCUGGAAUAACAGCGGGAAACUGCUGCUAAUACCGGAUAUUCUCUACGGAGGAAAGAUUUAUCGCUGAAAGAUCGGCCCGCGUUAGAUUAGGUAGUUGGUGGGGUAAUGGCCUACCAAGCCUACGAUCUAUAGCUGGUCUGAGAGGAUGAUCAGCCACACUGGAACUGAGACACGGUCCAGACUCCUACGGGAGGCAGCAGUGGGGAAUAUUGGACAAUGGGGGAAACCCUGAUCCAGCCAUGCCGCGUGAGUGACGAAGGCCUUAGGGUUGUAAAGCUCUUUUAUCAGGGACGAUGAUGACGGUACCUGAAGAAUAAGACACGGCUAACUUCGUGCCAGCAGCCCGCGGUAA
rnacentral:rRNA from 1 species